rnacentral:rRNA from 1 species
UCGGGAAUUUUGGGCAAUGGGCGAAAGCCUGACCCAGCAACGCCGCGUGAAGGAUGAAGUAUUUCGGUAUGUAAACUUCGAAAGAAUAGGAAGAAUAAAUGACGGUACUAUUUGUAAGGUCCGGCUAACUACGUGCCAGCAGCCGCGGUAAUACGUAGGGACCAAGCGUUGUUCGGAUUUACUGGGCGUAAAGGGUGCGUAGGCGGCAUAUCAAGUCACUUGUGAAAUCUCCGGGCUUAACUCGGAACUGCCAAGUGAUACUGAUGUGCUAGAGUGCAGAAAGGGCAACUGGAAUUCUUGGUGUAGCGGUGAAAUGCGUAGAUAUCAAGAGGAACACCUGAGGCGAAGGCGAGUUGCUAGGCUGACACUGACGCUGAGGUACGAAAGCGUGGGUAGCGAACAGGAUUAGAUACCCAUGUAGUCCCUGAGCGGGCUGGCAAGGCGCAU